rnacentral:tRNA from 1 species
GCAAUAGUAGCUCAGCGUCAGAGCGCCGGUCUUGUAAG